CGGCAGAUAUCCAAAUUUAUGAUAUCGGUAUCGGACAUAAAAAAAGUGGUAUCGUGCCAUCUCUAGCAAAAAGCCUUAAAGUAGAGCUGUGUUUAGUGAAAAUGCUGCUGUUUUGAAUGCAUGUUCUGCCUGCAGCCUGAGGUCAGCUGCAAAAGGAGACACUUCUGUACUAUUAGCCUUGAGCUGGAAACAUGACCAAGGAGGAGGAGAUCCCUGACUGGGUGGGAGCCAAAGAGUUCUACGACAAGUAUGAGCCCAAGGAGAUUCUGGGAAGGGGAGUGAGCAGCGUGGUGCGCCGCUGCGUCGACAAGCGGACCUCUCAGGAGUACGCGGUGAAGAUCAUCGACAUCACCCCCUCCGACAAGAUGACGGCACAGGAGAUCGAAGAGAUCAGAGAGGCGACGGUGAAGGAGAUCGACAUCCUCAAGAAAGUCUACGGACAGGAGAACAUCAUUCAGCUCAAAGACUGCUAUGAGUCCAAGGCCUUCUUCUUCCUGGUUUUUGACCUAAUGAAGAGGGGUGAACUUUUUGACUACCUCACAGAAAAAGUUACACUGAGCGAGAAGGAAACGCGGAAGAUCAUGCGGUCUCUAUUGGAGGUGGUCCAGUUUCUCCACACCCACAACAUUGUUCAUCGGGACCUGAAGCCCGAGAACAUCCUUUUAGAUGACUACAUGAACAUCAAACUCACUGACUUUGGUUUCGCUGUGCAGAUUCAGCCAGGACAGACGCUCAAAGGAGCGCAGUGCUGCGCUGGUUUCGGCACCUAAUCUUGCGUCCCUCAUUGGCUCCUCCCAAGUGUCUCCAUCUCUGCUGCUCGCUGCCAGAGAGGAUCAGUCCUUCAUUGACCCGGUCAAAGCUGGAACAAGCACCUCUGUUUACAAGACGUUGAUGGGCAGUGUGCCAGACAGAGGAGGACGACCUGGGGAAAUUGAGCCUCCUAUGCCAGCAUGGACAGGGAGACGCUCGAAAGGCAGCAGAGGGGGAUGGGGAGGCGGACAAUCUCAUAAGCAUAAGAAGAAGAAAGGGAAAAAAGAUUAACUUGUCCAUCUUUUUGGCCUUACUCAUCAAUUUAAGAAAUAAGUGAUCAUUUUGCUUUAUUGAAAUCCUUGUUGCGAGGUAAACUACGAUUGGGAAGUGCUGUAUAUAAUUUUGUAGUUAUAAAUCUGUGUAUAAUUUAUAGUUAUAAGUCAUGCACAUACCAGAUUGUGUACAUUUCUAUAAAAGCAAUGAAGUACUGGUACAUGACCAGAUAUUUUGGUAAAAGAGCAGAAAAUGGAAAAAAUGUUGGCUUUCCACAUUUAUCAGUAGGUUUGUUUAAGAAUAAACCUCUGAAACACA